GACGGAGGCUGCAAGCGUUAUCCGGAAUCACUGGGCGUAAAGCGUCCGUAGGCGGUUUAUUAAGUCAACUGUUAAAUAUUGGAGCUCAACUUCAGAAUGGCAGUUGAAACUGCUAGUCUAGAGUGAAGUUGGUGUAGACGGAAUUUCCAGUGUAGCGGUGAAAUGCGUAGAGAUUGGAUAGAACGCCGAUGGCGAAGGCAGGUUACAGAGCAAUUACUGACACUGAGGGACGAAAGCUUGGGGAGCGAAUGGG
rnacentral:rRNA from 1 species